rnacentral:lncRNA from 1 species
AGGGGACCCAGCAGCAAGAGGAAGGACACGGAGCUGGAGAAGCCUUUGGAAAGGGGAAAAUCGGGGCUUGUGGUGAGGAGAGAUGGAGAUGUUGAAGAUGGUCCCCGGGAAGCGCGCCGAAGCUCUUCACCGUGGCUCCCCUUCCGGAGGCGCACACCGGCUCCCACCGAGGGCUCCCGGCAGCACAGUGGGAGAGAACCGAUUUUAAACCACUCCCGUCUUUGUGACUGUGACUGAUUGAGGACAACAAAACGC